CUGUGCAUAGCUUAGCCUGGUAAAGCACUAGAUUUGGGUUCUAGGGACCGUAGGUUCGAAUCCUACUGCACAGACCA
rnacentral:tRNA from 1 species